rnacentral:rRNA from 1 species
GUGCCAGCCGCCGCGGUAAUACAGAGGUCCCAAGCGUUGUUCGGAUUCACUGGGCGUAAAGGGUGCGUAGGUGGUGGACUAAGUCGGGUGUGAAAUCUCCGGGCUCAACCCGGAGGGUGCGCUCGAAACUGGUUCGCUAGAGGAUGGGAGGGGAGACUGGAAUUCUCGGUGUAGCAGUGAAAUGCGUAGAUAUCGAGAGGAACACCCGUGGCGAAGGCGAGUCUCUGGACCAUUCCUGACACUGAGGCACGAAAGCCGGGGGAGCAAACAGGAUUAGAUACCCCCGUAGUCC